rnacentral:rRNA from 1 species
AGGGCACCACCAGGAGUGGAGCCUGCGGCUUAAUUUGACUCAACACGGGGAAACUUACCCGGCCUGGACACUGGAAGGAUUGACAGAUUGAGAGCUCUUUCUUGAUUCAGUGGGUGGUGGUGCAUGGCCGUUCUUAGUUGGUGGAGCGAUUUGUCUGGUUAAUUCCGAUAACGAACGAGACUCUAGCCUAUUAAAUAGGCUCUCGGCUUUUAAACGCCGGGAGGACUUCUUAGAGGGACAGGCGGCGGUUCAGCCGCACGAAAUUGAGCAAUAACAGGUCUGUGAUGCCCUUAGAUGUCCGGGGCUGCACGCGCGCUACACUGGAGAAAUCAGCGUGCUAUACCAUUGCCGAAAGACAUUGGUAAACCGAUCAAAAUUCUCCGUGAUCGGGAUCGGGAAUUGGAAUUAUUUCCCUUGAACGAGGAAUUCCCAGUAAGUGUGGGUCAUCAGCUCACGCUGAUUACGUCCCUGCCCUUUGUACACACCGCCCGUCGCUGCCCGGGACUGAGCCGCGAGAAA